CUUUCUCUCUUUUCCUCUGUCUUGUCAAAACCCAAGCCGCCGCCUACAAAAUUCUCUUCUCUCUCGUCUAGAAAUGGAAAGAUUAUAGUGUAUGUGUAAGACACACAGCUUUGCAACAUUAUUUUCGUGUAAGCAAUUAAUUUUGAGUUUGUAUCUACUCAAAUCUUGCCCCAAUCGGUAAUGAAACUUUUUUCUUUUGCUUUUCUUUGAAUUUACUUAGUCAAAGUUGAUUAUUGUGGAUACUUUUUGUUGUAUAGUGUUGUACCUUGCUUGAAUAUCAUUGGUUGACCAAAGAUUGGUCAGAUCGAGUCAAGCAAGACUCAGAUCUGACCAUCCAUUGUUGAUUUGAGAUAAUCUUAGCCGUGUAAAGGCCUACAAAGGCGAAUUUUGGAGAAAACAUGUUUGUCCCACAUCUUUUGUUUGAAGCUUUAGACGAUUUUUGGGGUUCUAUAAAUAGAACCCCAACCCUCUUUACAAAAGGACGUCUGGAAAUUUUGGAGAGGCUUUUUUUUCUGGAAAAAAGUCUGAGUUGUUGAAAGUUAAAAGUUUUAAAGAGUUUCAGAGAUUAGAAAAUUGGAGAAAUUUAAAGAAAGGCUGAAAACUUCGAAUUUCAAGCCUUGAUUAGUAAAAAAUUUUAAGGCUUCACUAGUUUGAGGUCUACCUGAAUUUAAAUUUUUUUUUUCUUUUGUUUUGAGUCUGUGUGGAUCAGUGUGGUCUUGGAAGCACAAACGACUUUAAAAAUCAUUUUUGACCAAGGCUGCACCAUUAAAAGGUACAGGUAGGCUGACAGGUGGUCCCGCUCAUUAGGACCUUCACUCAGCAGUAGUUGUCGCCCUCCAUUUGAUCCGGAGUUACAAUCUAUUUUUUUAUGCCAUUCCUUUGGAGAUGUAUAUGCAUAUGGGUAUGACGGGGCCCUGUCCCGUCCUUUCUAUAGUUUUCUAUUCCAUUAGAGGUCUGUAGACAGUUGUAUGUAUUUGACAGAUGAUGUAGCCUUGUCGGCUUUUAUUCUUUUGUGUA